rnacentral:rRNA from 1 species
AUUGAACGCUGGCGGCAUGCCUUACACAUGCAAGUCGAACGGCAGCACGGGUGCUUGCACCUGGUGGCGAGUGGCGAACGGGUGAGUAAUACAUCGGAACAUGUCCUGUAGUGGGGGAUAGCCCGGCGAAAGCCGGAUUAAUACCGCAUACGAUCCACGGAUGAAAGCGGGGGACCUUCGGGCCUCGCGCUAUAGGGUUGGCCGAUGGCUGAUUAGCUAGUUGGUGGGGUAAAGGCCUACCAAGGCGUCGAUCAGUAGCUGGUCUGAGAGGACGACCAGCCACACUGGGACUGAGACACGGCCCAGACUCCUACGGGAGGCAGCAGUGGGGAAUUUUGGACAAUGGGCGAAAGCCUGAUCCAGCAAUGCCGCGUGUGUGAAGAAGGCCUUCGGGUUGUAAAGCACUUUUGUCCGGAAAGAAAUCCUUGACUCUAAUACAGUCGGGGGAUGACGGUACCGGAAGAAUAAGCACCGGCUAACUACGUG